GACGAACGCUGGCGGCGUGCUUAACACAUGCAAGUCGAACGGAAAGGCCCUGCUUGCAGGGUGCUCGAGUGGCGAACGGGUGAGUAACACGUGGGUGAUCUGCCCCUUACUUUGGGAUAAGCCUGGGAAACUGGGUCUAAUACUGGAUAGGACCAUGCUGUAGCUGGUGUGGUGGUAAGAUUAGUUUCGGUAAGGGAUGGGCUCGCGGCGUAUCAGCUUGUUGUUGGGGUAAUGGCCUACCAAGGCCUCGACGGGUAGCCGGCCAGAGUGGGUGGGCGGCAACGUUGGGACUGCUAUGCGGCGCAGACGCCUGCGAUAGUCAGCAAUGGGCGAAAUUCUGCAAUAGGCGCAAGCCUGAUGCGGAGACGGCCUGUGGGUGAUGACGGCCUUCUGGUUGUAAACACCUUUCAGCCGUGACGAAGCCCUUGUUGUGACGGUAGUGGAAGAAGAAGCACCGGCUAACUACGUG
rnacentral:rRNA from 1 species